GAUGAACGCUGGCGGCGUGCCUAACACAUGCAAGUCGAGCGAUUCUCUUCGGAGAAGAGCGGCGGACGGGUGAGUAACGCGUGGGUAACCUGCCCUGUACACACGGAUAACAUACCGAAAGGUAUGCUAAUACGAGAUAAUAUGCUUUUAUCGCAUGGUAGAAGUAUCAAAGCUUUUGCGGUACAGGAUGGACCCGCGUCUGAUUAGCUAGUGGGUAAGGUAACGGCUUACCAAGGCGACGAUCAGUAGCCGACCUGAGAGGGUGAUCGGCCACAGUGGAACUGAGACACGGUCCAAACUCCUACGGGAGGCAGCAGUGGGGAAUAUUGCACAAUGGGCGAAAGCCUGAUGCAGCAACGACGCGUGAGCGAUGAAGGCCUUCGGGUCGUAAAGCUCUGUCCUCAAGGAAGAUAAUGACGGUACUUGAGGAGGAAGCCCCGGCUAACUACGUGCCAGCCGCCGCAGUAAAAC
rnacentral:rRNA from 1 species